GACGUAGGGCGCGAGCGUUGUCCGGAUUUAUUGGGCGUAAAGAGCUCGUAGGCGGCUUGUUGCGUCGGCUGUGAAAACCCGCGGCUUAACUGCGGGCUUGCAGUUGAUACGGGCAGGCUAGAGUUCGGUAGGGGAGAGUGGAAUUCCUGGUGUAGCGGUGAAAUGCGCAGAUAUCAGGAGGAACACCGGUGGCGAAGGCGGGUCUCUGGGCCGAUACUGACGCUGAGGAGCGAAAGCGUGGGGAGCGAACAGG
rnacentral:rRNA from 1 species